rnacentral:sRNA from 1 species
GUGAGAUUUUAUUGGAGUAUUCAGACAGAAUGCCAGGAGGAAAAGAGAAACAUUUUCAUUGACAACCAGUUUUAUCUUAGGAAACUGAGUCAAGAAGAGUAUGAACGGCAAGAAAGAGAGCACAGGCUGUCAGCUGCAGAUGAAAAGGCAGUUUCGGCUGCAGAGGAAGUAAAAACUUACAAGCGGAGAAUUGAAGAAAUGGAGGAUGAAUUACAGAAGACAGAGCGGUCAUUUAAAAACCAGAUCGCUACCCAUGAGAAGAAAGCUCAUGAAAACUGGGUAAGAUUUCUUUUUUUCUUUCCCUUAUUUUGUGCAUAGUCUCCCACAACUGAAUUUGGAUAUUUUUCUUCAAUAGCUCAAAGCUCGUGCUGCAGAAAGAGCUAUAGCUGAAGAGAAAAGGGAAGCUGCCAACUUGAGACACAAAUUAUUAGAAUUAACACAAAAGAUGGCAAUGCUGCAAGAAGAACCUGUGAUUGUAAAACCAAUGCCAGGAAAACCAAAUACACAAAAC